UACGGAGGUGGCAAGCGUUGUUCGGAAUUACUGGGCGUAAAGGGCGCGUAGGCGGCUUGGCAAGUCAGAUGUGAAAUCCCCGGGCUUAACUCGGGACCUGCAUCUGAAACUGCCUUGCUCGAGUCCUGGAGGGGGUAGUGGAAUUCCCAGUGUAGCGGUGAAAUGCGUAGAUAUUGGGAGGAACACCGGUGGCGAAGGCGGCUACCUGGACAGUGACUGACGCUGAGGCGCGAAAGCUAGGGUAGCAAACGGG
rnacentral:rRNA from 1 species